UCGCUGUGUGUUACAAGUGUCACACGGAACUUGCCGGUCGAUAAACCGGAGGAAGGUGGGGAUGACGUCAAGUCAGCAUGGCCUUUAUAUCCUGGGCUACACACACGCUACAAUGGGAAGGGACAAUAGGUUGCGAAGCCGCGAGGCGGAGCCAAUCCAGCAAAACUUCCCCCAGUUCAGAUUGCAGGCUGCAACUCGCCUGCAUGAAGUUGGAGUUGCUAGUAAACGCAGGUCAGCCAUACUGCGUUGAAUACGUUCCCGGGGCUU
rnacentral:rRNA from 1 species